AGGGGGAGAUGACAUUUCGGUGGGACUAAAAAUCCCACGUGGAAAAUACCCAAGUUUGGUAAACAAACAGGGAGGGACUUGAAUGACGAGGGAUUUUAGGAGAGGAUAAUUAGAUGGGAUUUGCCUUAAGACUUCUCCCUCCUUUGAGUUCCGCCUAUGGAGGUGUUAUUUUGAAAUUCCACAAUGCCAAGAAUGACGACUACGUAACAGGCUUGAUUUCUCGCUCUCUCUUCUUCCUGGAUCGUUGAUCUCCAGAACUUCAUUCGGAUUGAGAAACACAAUGAUCCAUUGUUGGAAGCUGAAGACUUACAUCUUUUACAUUUAGUUGAUCGUGAGUUGACAAUGAGGCCAAUAGAAACCAAUGAAGAGGAGAUUAGAACUGUUGAAGCCACUAAUGAGUGGAUUGUAUUUCGUGAUCAAUUGGCGAUGCAUAUGUUUGCUGACUAUCAAAGGCGUCGAGCUCAACAAGCGCAACAAGAACAAGGAGACCUUGCAAAUGUUUCAUAAUUUCGAAGUUUUGUUGUGACUUUUUAAAUUUCUAGAGUUUUUUAUGAUUUUUUUAUUUUAAUGGAAGUGUUGGAAUUAA